UAAAGUUGGAUUAUAUUACUCCACCCACCGGCACAGAGAGAGCCAGAGAGAGAGAGACCGCAGCUAGCUUUUGAUUCUCACAGGUUUUCUUGCUGAAAAAUCCAAUCACGCUCACAAAAACGCACGGAACCCGUAUUUACGAUGAUUUCCGGAGUAUCUCAUCCAGUUCAAUUCACCAAAUUUCGUAGUUAAGGGCUUCUCCGUCUCUGUUUUCCCUCAAAGACAAGUAAAACGUAAUAAAGAAAACAUCUUUCUUCUCUUUUCAGGCAGCUUCCUAGAGGGUAGGAAAUUAGCCAUAAGUUACCCAGCAAAACCACAAAGGCAUUUGUGAUUUUUAAAUAGAAGAGGAAGGGUAAUGGUUUGCAGAGGCUUAGUACUUCUGCAAGCCGAGCUUCCUUUCUCGCUCUUCAUAUAUCGAAGUACAAUUACUGCUGUAAAAGCCUCUUGUUCGUGAUGCUUGUGCAUAUGACAAUUGGUAUCUGUUGAUGAGAUUGGGGAGUUUCUGUGGAGUUUUUAAGUGAGAGAAAGAAUUGCAGCUGGCAUAAUGGGUGCUGUCUGUUGCUGUUUGAAUUCUGAGAGUUUUGAAGAUUAUGUAAAUCCAAAUAGUUCUGUAUAUAGGAACUGUAUGUGUCUCAGUUGCUUUAUUCAGAACCUUUUAAAUGUGUACACCUCACUAUUCAGAAGAGGGGAAGUGCAUUCCCUCCCUUCGUCUAUUCAGGGGACAGCAUCUAUGACUUCUGCAGCAUCACUGGACAACACUCUAUCUGACAUGUAUCGCUCUCCUCCAAGGCCCUUGCCUUACGAUGCAGACCCCAGAUAUUUCCGCUUGCAGCGGGAUGGACUAGUUUCAAGACGUGAAAAGGGCUCGAGUCAUUCACAUGAGGAGACAGAACCUCUAAGAAGUGAUGUCGAUGUAGAUGCAGUAUCUUUAAAUUCGGGAGACAAAUGGAAUGAAUCUCCCUGUGAAGAUGGAUCUAAAGAAUAUCGUUCUAGGUCCUCACUUAAGCUCUCACAGGCAAAAACUAUGACUGGAGUUGGGAACAUUUAUACAUCAUCAGAAGAUGAGGAUGUCUGUCCUACUUGUCUUGAAGAAUAUACUCAAGAGAACCCCAAGAUACUGACAAAGUGCUGUCAUCAUUUUCACCUUGGUUGCAUUUAUGAGUGGAUGGAGAGAAGUGAAAGCUGUCCAGUUUGUGGCAAGAUGGACAAAUACUGCUGCAUAUAUGAAACUUUUGGCUGCUGAUUUCAUCCCAUCACUUCAAGGCAAAAAGUUAUAAAUACGUUCACCUAUCAAAAAGGUGAUGGUAUUCGAUGAAACAACUAAUCUUGAUUGAAAGGUUUGCGUUGUGGAGGAAGCAAGCAUCACAAGAUUGUGCAUACCACAGAUUAAAGAGUUUGUCAUCCAUAGUAAAUAUAAAAAAUUGUUCUCUUAUCCAUUGUUGUGAAUACAUUCCGUCUCAGAUGUGCGUUGUUCACUACCCCUGGGUAACUUUGCAGUAAAUUUCCAUUUUCGUUGAUUUGGGAGAAAAGAUAGAUAAAGAAAUAAGAUUCAUUCAAACAAACGUUGAGCUACAUGAAAGGCAAUGAAUGCUGAAGACAAAGAGGCCAAGACGAGUUUCCUCAAAGUGGAUGGACCGAGGAGAAACAUCUGUACUGACUCCGGUCCGGAGUAUAUAGUUUUUGCUUACAUUUUUACUUUUUGGCAUUAAGGUGUUGUUGGUUCUCAUUAAGCUUGAAUAUUGAUUUGGCUUUAAAUACUAAAGAAACAUGCAACAGGGGAAGGUAAAUUACACGGCUUAAUUUCUGUUGCUAA